ensembl:lncRNA
GGGGAUGGUGAAUGCCUGCCCCAAAAGGAUGGAGGGCAAAUAGGGGUCAGCAGCAGGCCGAGGGUUAAGUGGAGGCUUUCUGUUUCGCUUCCAGUGUGACAAAGGUUAUGUUAUGGAUAUAAAAGGUGUUAUAGAUGACAGUAAUACAUACAUUAUAUAUCUAUAUCAUGCCGUCGGGAUGCGGAGAAUAGUGUGAAUUGCUGUCUCAACAAUAAUGACCUUAUGGUGAGAUUAUUGAUCAACACUCUUCUUUGCUUUAAAACCAGGAGACGCUCUGAAUAUAUGAUAUCUAGUCCCACCGUGCAGAUAUAACAUCCAUUUACUGACCUCAUGUGAGUAACCGAUGGGAAGCUUGCUGAUGCAACGCAAGGUUUUAAUUUCCAACCAAAUGACAAAUUUACCCGCUGUAUAUAUACAUAUAUAUAUAUAUGUAUAUAUAUAUAUAUAUAUAUAUAUAUAUAUAUAUAUAUAUAUAUACAUAUAUAUAUAUAUGUAUAUAUAUAUAUAUAUAUAUAUAUAUAUAUAUGUAUAUAUGCAUAUAUAUAUAUACAUAUACAUAUAUAUAUUUAUAUUUAGAUAUAUAUACACAUUUACAUUCAAAUAUUCAACAAUACAGCUUUAGAAUUAUUCCAUUCAUAUUAUAUUAUUUCAUAUUACAUGUUUAUAUUGUCUUUGUUAUAUUUCCUGUUAACAGUUUACACUGUUAAACGCACAGACACUCCGAUACUUUAAAGAGCACAUCUUUGCACAUCUUUGUCGUUGAAGACGACACAACAGUGAAAUCGCUCUGUUUCUUAAACCUUACACGCAGAGGAAAAUGUAAUCUGCUCACUUAUUUGGUUCAGAGAUGGAAAUUAGAUCAGCGUCUCAGCGCUGAGCCAUGUGGGACGGGACGGAGAUUCGGAUCGUUUUUGAAAAACCCGAAGAACAGACAAAAGGAGUGUUUGACCUCCUGAAGCGACGUGCGAGUGCUGGUGAUCUGCUCUGGCCGAUGUUUCGAUUGGUUGUUUUUCUGCCCAAAUGCACCCUGGGAAUUGUGGGUGACUUUUCUCUCCAUGAUUCAAUGCGUACAUCCGAUUUAGAAUCAAAGAACAAGAAGCUUUUUAACACUUCAUCUUUUAAAUCUUUCCUACUCAACACCGUCAAAAGGAAGAAUGGGAAUUUACUUCUGAAACGGCUCUUCCCACUUUUAAGCUUUUGGAGACACAUCAUCACUUAAACAAAGUAUAUGUUUGUUUAGUUUGUACUUAAAUGAUAGAAUCCCUCAUUCUCCUUUUGACCUUUGACCCUGAAAACUCUGCUUUUCCGUGACGGACAGACUUACCCUAAAGUGUUUAAUUGGUGAAGACAGACUGUUCAAAUCUCUUGAUGUCGCAACCCCCAAUUCCCAAUGGUUACUGUGUGUGUGUGUGUGUGUGUGCCUCUGUGUGUGUGUGUGUGUGCCUCUACCUGGAUCAAUGCGGCUCCUCUGAAGUCACCGUGACGUGACGGAGGGUUGAGAUGUUUUUGGCUCGUCUGCAGCUGAGGCCUCCUUAUUCCAGCCGGAUUAACCCGGUCUGAACGCCGCAGUGGGAAGGCGCGUUUCGUUGGCCGAUGGCGCUGCAGGCGAGGGGGAUUAUCUCCAUGGCGCCCCUCACCUCAGAGGUGAUGUGAGGACGUCUUGACGGGUCAUUAUCUCUGCUCUGCUCCGGCUGCAGGCGUGAGGUGAAGCACAAAGAUGCUGCUUUAUGCUCGAUUGACACAUCUGUCAGCCACUGAUGACCCGAGGAUUCAUCACCACACCUCCUCAUCUACCUCUUCAGCUUCUAAAUGGGUCUAAAUGGACCAUCAUUUACUAAAUGAACAUCAUGCUGUAUUGAGGAAGACUUGAAACCAGAGAUUGAGACCAUAAACAUGUUUACAAUAUUUACUGAGGGAAUAAAUCAAGAGAGAAGUAGAGAGUCUAUAGGACCAGAGGAGUCGCAGUAUUUCAAUACAUUUAAAUACAUCCUCAUUGUUCAAUGAUAUUUUAUUAUCAGGAAUCAUACAGUAAGUCAUGUUGUCUAAUAAAUAUAAG